CGGGUGCGUAACGCGUAUACAAUCUACCUUUUGCUGAGGGAUAGCCCAGAGAAAUUUGGAUUAAUACCUCAUAGUAUAUAAAAGUGGCAUCACUAUUAUAUUAAAGGUUACGGCAAAAGAUGAGUAUGCGUUCUAUUAGCUAGAUGGUGUGGUAACGGCACACCAUGGCAACGAUAGAUAGGGGCCCUGAGAGGGGGAUCCCCCACACUGGUACUGAGACACGGACCAG
rnacentral:rRNA from 1 species